rnacentral:misc_RNA from 1 species
GUGGAAACCCUUUUUCCAAUCGAUCUCUCGCGAGACCACCUUUGGUCCUUAUCUUCUUACGCCAUCAACCCAUUAAACUAACAAACAAUAUUCUUAGUCGUCUUCUUCGUUCGCUUUACUAUUUCAAUCAAUCACAUUCUUCUGUAUUCUCUCUACCCAUCUUCGCCAGAUUUUCCAUGGCAACGCCACCACCCUCUUCUCUAAGCCUCUGCACAGUCUUAACCGAAUCAAAACACAUCAUCAACGCCCACUCCCGCCAUUUCCUCGCUCUCUCUGUUCUCUUUCUCCUCCCUCCCUCCUUCUCUUGCGCUGUCUUUCCCACACUUCUAAACCUCAUCGCUCCAUCCUCCACUCUCAACUCCAAAAUCCUCCUCUCGACUUCUAUCUUCCUCGAUCAAGGCCCGUCUAAUCAUUUCACUAUUAAUGCCCUUGUUUUCUCUCUCCUAUUCUCGCUCUUUGUCUUUGUUUUCGCUCCCCUUGCUGUUGGUUCCAUCACCUAUAGCGUUCUCCAUGGCUUCUAUGGUAGACCUGUCAAGCUCCUAGCCGCUAUCAAAUCUGCUUUUACUUCUUUCCUUCCCUUGUUAGUCACUACCAUUUUUGCUCAAAUUAUUGUGUUUGCGAUGUUUCUCAUUUCUGGGUUUUUCCUGUUUUUGGUAUUUAUGGCCAUUCAGCUGUUGGGGUUUCAAGUCGAGAUCUCUUCUCCCUAUUUUAUUGGGUUCUCUGGGGUUGUUUCGAUUGUUUUGUUAUUGGUUAUAGUGUAUUUGCAACUUAAUUGGUCUCUAGUAGGAGUCGUUGUGGUAGCGGAAUCGAGUUGGGGGCUUGAGCCAUUGAAGCGGAGUAGUUAUCUCAUAAAGGGAAUGAGAGGAGUGGCUCUGGCUUUAUUGUUGUUUUUUGGGUUCUUGGUGUGUAUUUUGUUAAUCAUUAGCUCUGUAUCAGGGGUGACACUGGGUAUUGGCACUAGCAAUGGAUGGAAGAGUUGUGCAUUUGUUAUCCAAAUUGUGGUAACUACAACACUGCUAAUGCUGUUGCUCCUUUACGAUGUUGCUGCAAAUACUGUUCUGUAUAUGUAUUGCAAGGCUGUACAUGGGGAGCUUGCUUUGGAAAUUGUUGAGGAGUUUGCUAGAGAGUAUAUCAGCUUGCCCUUUGAUGAUGAAAAAGUCCCUCACCUUGUCUCCGUUGCUUAUACUUGACAAAAAUAAAUAGGUUAGUGGUCUUUUUUUCUUUUUUGAACUGCAAUAGGUUAGUGGUCUUGUAAUGCCUUUCUCUCCAGGUUGUAUGAAACAAGUCCUGUUAGAAUUAUGCAAAGAAAAUGAAACCUUGGAAAUAUCAUUAGCCAUUGUUCUGUAAAUUAUUUGUUUUUUUAUGUUGUUGUUGAUGGCAGUUGAUGCUUAUGACUAGAAAUUAUUUUGUCCUCUCUUUUGCCUUUUGGUACAUGUAUCUUUUAAUGAAGAUUGAAUGGUCUCUGUUGACACCUUUUUGAAGUAAUAGCAUGCCUGGAAUUGAAGAAUAGUAAUUACAGCAAUAUUUCCAUCAACAGCCAACACCAGAUGUUCACUUGCAAUUUGAAGCAUAUGCGUUGAUUCAACUUCCAUAGCAGGAGCAUAUCACACUUAAAAUUUUUGUUAAAUGAUCUGAGUUCAGCUUGCUAAUUGGGUUAAUUUUACAUUUCACUAGCUGCAGUGAUACAAAAUUGUAAGAGUAAUACUGGUGCUACAUUGCU